GACGAACGCUGGCGGCGUGCUUAACACAUGCAAGUCGAACGGAAAGGCCCUGCUUUUGUGGGGUGCUCGAGUGGCGAGCGGGUGAGUAACACGUGAGUACCCUGCCCUUGACUUUGGGGUAACUUCAGGAAACUGGGUCUAAUACCGGAUCUGAGCUCCUGCUGCAUGGUGGGUGUUGGAAAGUUUCGGCGGUUGGGGAUGGACUCGCGGCUUAUCAGCUUGUUGGUGGGGUAGUGGCUUACCACGGCUUUGACGGGUAGCCGGCCUGAGAGGGUGAACGGCCACAAUGGGACUGAGAUACGGCCCAGACUCCUACGGGAGGCAGCAGUGGGGAAUAUUGCACAAUGGGCGGAAGCCUGAUGCAGCAACGCCGCGUGCGGGAUGACGGCCUUCGGGGUGUAAACCGCUUUCGCCUGUGACGAAGAGUGAGUGACGGUAACGUGUAAAGAAGCACCGGCUAACUACGUG
rnacentral:rRNA from 1 species